GAUGAACGCUGGCGGCGUGCCUAAUACAUGCAAGUCGAGCGAACGGACGAGAAGCUUGCUUCUCUGAUGUUAGCGGCGGACGGGUGAGUAACACGUGGAUAACCUACCUAUAAGACUGGGAUAACUUCGGGAAACCGUAGCUAAUACCGGAUAAUAUUUUGAACCGCAUGGUUCAAAAGUGAAAGACGGUCUUGCUGUCACUUAUAGAUGGAUCCGCGCUGCAUUAGCUAGUUGGUAAGGUAACGGCUUACCAAGGCAACGAUGCAUAGCCGACCUGAGAGGGUGAUCGGCCACAUGGGAACUGAGACACGGUCCCGACUCCGACGGGAGGCAGCAGUAGGGAAUCUUCCGCAAUGGGGGAAAGCCUGACGGAGCAACGCCGCGUGAGGGAUGAAGGUCUUCGGAUCGUAAAACUCUGUUAUUAGGGAAGAACAUAUGUGUAAGUAACUGUGCACAUCUUGACGGUACCUAAUCAGAAAGCCACGGCUAACUACGUG
rnacentral:rRNA from 1 species